AGCGUGGGAGAGUCAGCGGAAGGCUUACACAUCUGAGUUCAUUGAGCUCGAUCUUUGUAUUGAAGAUAUAGAAUCAUUUUGGAAGGACAAGGAAAAGCAGGCCGAUGUUGUUUUCUGCAUGCACAAUUUACAGGCGUGCUUUGAUAGUGAAGAGAAAGCAAGGAGGCUAUUGCAUAAUGUAUCAGCUUUGCUUAAACCUGGGGGUUACUUUCUUGGUAUUACUCCUGACUCAUCUACUAUAUGGGCAAAGUACCAGAAGA
rnacentral:misc_RNA from 1 species